GACGAACGCUGGCGGCGUGCCUAAUACAUGCAAGUAGAACGCUGAAGAGAGGAGCUUGCUCUUCUUGGAUGAGUUGCGAACGGGUGAGUAACGCGUAGGUAACCUGCCUUGUAGCGGGGGAUAACUAUUGGAAACGAUAGCUAAUACCGCAUAACAAUGGAUGACACAUGUCAUUUAUUUGAAAGGGGCAAUUGCUCCACUACAAGAUGGACCUGCGUUGUAUUAGCUAGUAGGUGAGGUAAUGGCUCACCUAGGCGACGAUACAUAGCCGACCUGAGAGGGUGAUCGGCCACACUGGGACUGAGACACGGCCCAGACUCCUACGGGAGGCAGCAGUAGGGAAUCUUCGGCAAUGGGGGCAACCCUGACCGAGCAACGCCGCGUGAGUGAAGAAGGUUUUCGGAUCGUAAAGCUCUGUUGUAAGUCAAGAACGGGUGUGAGAGUGGAAAGUUCACACUGUGACGGUAGCUUACCAGAAAGGGACGGCUAACUACGUGCCAGCAGCCGCGGUAAUACGUAGGUCCCGAGCGUUGUCCGGAUUUAUUGGGCGUAAAGCGAGCGCAGGCGGUUUGAUAAGUCUGAAGUUAAAGGCUGUGGCUCAACCAUAGUUCGCUUUGGAAACUGUCAAACUUGAGUGCAGAAGGGGAGAGUGGAAUUCCAUGUGUAGCGGUGAAAUGCGUAGAUAUAUGGAGGAACACCGGUGGCGAAAGCGGCUCUCUGGUCUGUAACUGACGCUGAGGCUCGAAAGCGUGGGGAGCGAACAGGAUUAGAUACCCUGGUAGUCCACGCCGUAAACGAUGAGUGCUAGGUGUUGGAUCCUUUCCGGGAUUCAGUGCCGCAGCUAACGCAUUAAGCACUCCGCCUGGGGAGUACGA
rnacentral:rRNA from 1 species